AUGCGAAGGCGAAAGUCACGGUCAAUCUGCUUGACCAGAACGGAGAACCGGUGCCUCCUCCCUGUACGUACCUUCUCAAGGGGCGAUUCACGAUGGUGUUAUGACAUCAGGAAGGCUUAUCUGGAGGGAUCGGAGCAUCUGAAAGAUGAUUGCCUUACCAUCAGGUGCGAUGUCACCGUCAUGAAGGAGAUCCAUGGCGAAGAAGCAAUGGUUCCUCCAAGCGACCUGCACCAGCAUCUUGGCGACCUACUCAAGAACCAGGAUGCAGCAUACCUAACCUUUCAAGUCGGUGCACAGAGAUUCUCUGCUCACAGGUGUGUCCUUGCUGCUCGGUCAUCAGUCUUCAAGGCCGAGCUCCUCGGCGCCAUGGAGGAGAGUUCCUCUGGUCAUAUUGAAAUAUGUGACAUGGAAGCUGAUGCUUUCAAGUCCUUGCUCCAUUUCAUUUACACCGACUCGGUUCCUCCAGUGCUUGAUGUGGUGAUGGCCGGCCAUCUCCUCGUGGCAGCUGACAGGUACAACAUCGGCAGGCUGAAGCAGAUUUGUGAGGAUAAAAUGGGCAAUAACAUUGAUGCCAACAUGGUGGCAACCAGCUUGGCUCUAGCGGAGCAGCAUGGUUGCCAUGGUCUCAAAGAAGCUUGCUUCCAGUUCCUUGCUUCUCCGUCCAAUUUGGAGGCGAUGAUGGCAAGCGAAGGUUAUGAGCAUCUCAAGUCCAGCUGUCCAUCUGUUUUCAAGGAGCUAAUAGCUAGAGUUCUCCCGGCUGAAUGGAACGCGGCUAAGGAUAUUGUCAUGACAAUGUGGAAGUAA
rnacentral:rRNA from 1 species